CAAAUAAGUCUACUAUGCAUGUUAGCAAUUGUAGACAGAGCAUGCAAAUUGAUGCAUCUGAUAGCCAGAACCCUUUUUUACUAACUGACCAAGUAGGUGACGAAGCAAAUGGAAGCCUGGCUUCUACUAUACCAGUCCAGGAUGCAUCGACAAUCAGUUAUUUUCAUCAGCCGCAUACAGCCUCUGUACCUUUUACCCAUCUCCACAAUGAUCAAGAUGUGUAUAGCAUGCCUCUUCUAAAUCAAUGUCAUCGUCUUCUUCUGGCUCUGAUGAUUGUGAUGGAAGAGAUGAGAUUUCUAAGGAACUUAAAGACACUGGAUCCAGCAAGAUAAAGACAUUAGCAGCUCACAGAUCUUCUGAUUUAGAUAAGGCUAUGAAUAAGAAGAAAGUGGAUCGCUCUUCUUGUGGAUCCAAUACUGCAUCAAGUAGUGAAGUAGAAGCAUACACCAUGGAGAAGAAACAUGAAAAAGUGAAUGACGAGGGGAAAAAAGACUACGGCAAUUUUUCAAAAUGUGGGUUCAACAAUUACAGGCUCAGAAGUAGCGGAAGUUUAAAUGAAUCGUUGAAGGUCUCUUCAGAGGUUGUAAUAUGAUAAUUUCUUGUUAACCCCCAUUAAUGCAGAAAAUACCAACCAAAGUCUUGAUGAGGCUUGGAAGGAGCUUCAAGAGUACUUGAUUCAAACUGAAGACAGUGGGCUACUAAGAAAAAGAAUUGCUAAUUUUGUAAUCAGGUUGUUGAAGUACCAAAUGUCAGCUGGGAUGAUAUUGGUGGGCUGGAAAAUGUCAAGAGGAAACUGCAAGAGAACAGUGGAUACUCAGAAAAUUAGGUAUUUGAAGAUGAAAAGUGGUGAGAUUAGGGAAAUGAAAGGCGCAAGAAGAAUGGAGCAGUAUAGCAAGUUGAACAGAUUCUGAUUCUCAUAAUUUAAUG